UACGUAGGGAGCAAGCGUUGUCCGGAAUCAUUGGGCGUAAAGCGCGCGUAGGCGGCCCUGUAAGUCCGUUGUGAAAGUCAAAGGCUCAACCUUUGAAAGCCGAUGGAAUACUGCAGGGCUAGAGUCCGGAAGAGGCGAGUGGAAUUCCUGGUGUAGCGGUGGAAUGCGCAGAUAUCAGGAGGAACACCAAUAGCGAAGGCAGCUCGCUGGGACGGUACUGACGCUAAGGCGCGAAAGCGUGGGGAGCGUAACGAG
rnacentral:rRNA from 1 species